CAGUCGCCGCGGGAAUACGUAGGUGGCAAGCGUUGUCCGGAAUUAUUGGGCAUAAAGCGCGCGCAGGUGGUUUAAUAAGUCUGAUGUGAAAGCCCACGGCUCAACCGUGGAGGGUCAUUGGAAACUGUUAAACUUGAGUGCAGGAGAGAAAAGUGGAAUUCCUAGUGUAGCGGUGAAAUGCGUAGAGAUUAGGAGGAACACCAGUGGCGAAGGCGGCUUUUUGGCCUGUAACUGACACUGAGGCGCGAAAGCGUGGGGAGCAAACAGGAUUAGAUACCCCUGUAGUCCCUGUCUCUUAUAU
rnacentral:rRNA from 1 species